rnacentral:rRNA from 4 species
CGACCUCGGAUCAGGCGUGAUUACCCGCUGAACUUAAGCAUAUCAAUAA